AAGUAACUGUAAUUUGACGAAAAAGAAUACCGAGAUAGUAGCCGCACAUCUAUAAAAAUAUCAAAUUUAUUUAAAGCAACAGACACAACAAAGAAUGGGUUAAAAACAUUGUAUACAAUGAAUCUGGGUCAUGUGAAC